GACAGAGGGGGCAAGCGUUGCUCGGAAUUACUGGGCGUAAAGGGCGCGUAGGCGGGAUGGCAAGUCGGUCGUGAAAUCCUUCGGCUCAACCGAAGAACGUCGAUCGAUACUGCUGUUCUUGAGGGUUGCAGAGGAGACUGGAAUUCCCGGUGUAGCGGUGAAAUGUGUAGAGAUCGGGAGGAACGACCGGUGGCGAAGGCGGGUCUCUGGGCAAAUUC
rnacentral:rRNA from 1 species